rnacentral:rRNA from 1 species
ACACGCAUGACACACUGCAUAUCAAUAAGCGGAGGAAAAGAAACUAACAAGGAUUCCCUUAGUAACGGCGAGUGAAGCGGGAAGAGCUCAAAUUUGAAAUCUUCAAGGUUUUACCUUGACGAAUUGUAGUUUAUAGAAGUGUUUUCUGUUAGUAGAGUUGGCUAAAAGUUCUUUGGAAUAGGACAUCAUAGAGGGUGAGAAUCCCGUAUUUGUACAGUUACUUUCUAGCUGUGUGAUACACUUUCAACGAGUCGGAUUGUUUGGGAAUGCAGUCCAAAAUGGGUGGUAAAUUUCAUCUAAAGCUAAAUAUUGGCGAGAGACCGAUAGCGAACAAGUACCGUGAGGGAAAGAUGAAAAGAACUUUGAAAAGAGAGUUAAACAGUACGUGAAAUUGUCAAAAGGGAAGCGUUUGACACCAGUGUUGUUUUUCCGAAAAUCAAUUACGAAUGUUUUGUUUUUAAGAAGUUAUGACUUCAUCGGCUUGCUUCUUUCUUUACGAAACUUUCUUAAUGCACUUUUCGGUUAACAAGUCAACAUCAAUUUCUUUUGUUGUAAAAGGGUAUGAGGAAGGUGGCUUUCUUUUCGGAGAAAGUGUUUAUAGCCUUGUACCUCUGCAAUCGGAGAGAUUGAGGUCUGCAGCGUAGAUCCUUCGGGGUUAGAUACAUUUGUGCUAAGUUAUAGCUUUUCAUAGACAACUUGUUGACUAUGUUUAGUCUUGUAGCUUACUCGCUUAUGCUAUUUUACCUACGCUUAGGAUGUUGAUCUACAGAGCGAGAGU